AUGCACCUCCGCCUCUCCCUCUCCUCAUCUUCUCCCAAUGCGUCGCUGCCGCUGCCUCCGCCUAUCCCCAUCUUCUCCCGCCCAGCCACCGCCUCUCGGCUCUGGCGCUGUGCUGCAGGGCGUCAGAGUGGUCGCGGGACUAUGAUGGGGCGUGCCUGCAAAUGCGCAUGUCCUAUAGCCACGCCGCGUGCAUCUUCCUCUUCCUCCUGCAGCGGGCCGACUGCAGCCUCGCCGGCGCCCUCGGCCUCCUCAGGAUCCCCAUCUAGCACAAGUGCUUGUUCUGCUUGUGUUCUUACCAUCUUGCCUCUGCUUCCAUUGUCUCUACAGGUUUAUGUGGACGGCACCACAACCAUGCCCACCCACGAAAGGAAAGCGAACAUGAAGGAAUUCUUCUACGCCAUGACAUUUCCCUUCCUUCUGCAACUGGAACACGGGAUCAGCGGCAUCGACGACCCGAGGCAGAGGGCGGUGUGCUCGGAGUUGUACAGGAGGAGAGACGGCAAGGGGGAGGGUAGUACGAGGCUGGUCUCUGAGGUCGACGCCGAGAUAGAAGAGGAGUGUGGGAUCUGCAUGGAGUUAAACAGCAGGGCUGUGCUGCAUCCACGAUAA
rnacentral:rRNA from 1 species